CCUGACCAGAACAGGGAGAGCCAGCUUCUCUCUCUCUCUGCUGCUGCUGCUGGCGUUUCUUUUAUUUUUAGCUCAGAUCGAGUUUCCAGCCGUCAGUUCAGCUGCUGCAGGCUGAGCGUCUCCCAGCCAGCCGGACACAAGCUGUUCGCUGCACAGGCUGCAGCAUCUGAGCUGACCACUGCAGGAGGUGACAAACCGGAGGCUGAGGGACGCAGCAUGGGACGUCUGGAAACUGCAGAGUCACUGUGAUGCUCUGAAACGGGAAGCUGCAGUCAAGGUGACCUGCCAUCCGCUCCUCUGGCUGUUGUUUCUGUUGAAGACAUCUGAUCUCCUUCUGGUGGGACUCUGUGGGAUCAGAUGAAGUGAUGCCGCUACAGGAAGCAGGCAGACUCGGGUCAGGGUGGCGAGCCGCCGCUGCACCGCGCUUACGCUCGCCUGACUCUCUGAUGCUGGCGCCAUCUGGCGGGACGUUUUGGGCCAGAGGUCCGGAGGCUGCGGCUGGGUCUGGUUCUGGUCGGCUGUUGGAGUGAAGGAACGUCUGCGGAGCCGUUCUGAAACUGUUCUGUCUUCCACCAAACUUUCCUCAGCGUCACAGGGGUUGUGACCUGAGCCCCUCUGUCCGGCGCCAGCAGCAUCAUGGCGGAGACUGGGUCGGACCCGGCCGUGGCCGCGCAGCAGUGACCCGAUGAUGAGCUCGUCGUCCCCGCUCAGAGUGGAGCCCGUCUCCAUCCCCACCCUCACCGUCUUGCCGCCGUCCUCAGACACAGAGUCCUGGUCCCGCCCCCCCAGCCCCAGACCGCCGGGCCGGUCCCACCGCAGCAGGACCAGAACCAAGCGGCGCUGCGAGGGCCCGGCGGGCCUGCAUGGCAGUGCCGCGCGGCCGGGAUGGGGCGAGACGCCGCAGAUCGUGGUGGAGGAUGGCGAGCGGCGCCGCAGCCCGUCUCCCUCGGUGGAGCGGCGGAGCGAGGACAGCCCGUCACAUGACCUGCUGCUGCCGCCGCCCCGGUCCUGGUCCAGAAGCCCCUCCCCCGGCCGGCGCUCCCGCUGGUCCCUCAGGAGCCUGCUGAGCAGAGACUCAGACGUGGACGGCUGCAGCACGGCCAGUAACUCUCCACGCAGCACGCCUGGCAGCUCCCCCUCCCUGCGGCGGAGGGUCCUGGGGGGGGGCAAGGCCAGCGAGGGUGAGGCAGGGGGGGGCGGCGCCGACAGCCCUCUGCCCUCCGUGCCCUCCGCCUCCUCCCUGUCCUCCGCCUACCCCCUGGCCUCCCGCCACUUCAGCCGUAACGCCAAGAAAAUGCAGAGCUGGUACAAUGUCCUCAGCCCCACGUACAAACAGCGCAAUGAGGACUUCCGAAAAAUCUUCAAGAAGCUCCCCGACUCCGAGCGGCUCAUAGUGGACUACUCCUGCGCUCUGCAGAAGGACAUCCUGCUUCAGGGACGCCUCUAUCUGUCAGAGAACUGGCUCUGCUUCUACAGCAACAUCUUCCGCUGGGAAACCACUAUCACCAUCCAGCUGAAAGACGUGACGUCUAUGACGAAGGAGAAGACGGCCAAGCUGAUCCCCAACGCCAUCCAGAUCAGCACCGACAGCGAGAAGCAUUUCUUCACGUCGUUCGGCGCCAGGGAGCGCAGCUUCAUGAUGAUUUUCCGCCUGUGGCAGAACGCGCUGUUGGACAAGUCUCUGUCCCCCAAAGAGCUGUGGCACAUCGUGCACCAGUGCUACGGCACCGAGCUGGGCCUGACCAGCGAGGACGACGACUACGUCUCUCCCACCAGCGAACACAUCAACGGCCUGCUGCCGGGAGAGGAGUCUGUGUCGGUGACGGAUCUGUUGGACCUGAGCACGGUGUCGGCGCCGUCUGCCGGCAGCUCCCCGCCUCCCGUCUCGGUCCACUGCGGUCUGACCAGUCCGGCGUCCGCCCCCAUCCUCAGCGGCUCCUUCCCGCCCCCCUCCGCCGCCUGCCAGCCCAUUGAGGUGCCGUCCUCUUCAGGAAGUAGACCCGGCCCAGAACCCAUGGAGCCCAGCCCGCCCAGCUGCCACGGCUCGCUGCUGGCCCUCACCCCCCCCAUCACCGCCUCAGUCUCUGCAGCCGCUUCCUUCACCCUGGAGGAAGGAGGCGACAGUCAGUCCGAGUCGACCAAUCACAUGCCGCCCCCACCGGCCGCCAGCCUGGGAAACCUCUCCUCACUGGACAUCACCAACGACGAGGAGCUGCCCACCGACCCCAGCAACUCGUCCGAUACGCAGGAGGAGACGUCGGGCGAGGUGGAGGCGUUCUGUUCGGACCUCAGCGGCCGCCUCAACAUCAACACGGCGGUCCGGAUGAGCGUGGACAAGCUGCACGACCUGCUGUUCUCCGCAGACACGCACUUCAUCCAGCACCUGUUCUCCCAGAGGCACUUCACCGACCUGUCAGUGGGCGAGUGGCAGCAGGACGGCGCCAGCGGUACCAGCAGCCGGGUUCUGAGCUACACCAUCGCCCUCAACAACCCGCUGGGCCCCAAAACCGCCCCGGUGGUCGAGACGCAGACGCUGCAUAAGAGCUGCUCCAGAGGCGAGUGCUACGUGGUGGACUCAGAGGUCCUCACGUCUGGGAUCCCCUACCAGGACUACUUCUACACCGUCCACAGAUACUGCCUGACCUCCAUCAGCAAACACAAGAGCCGCCUCAGAGUUUCCUCAGACAUCUGCUACAGGAAGCAGCCGUGGAGUCUAGUCAAAGCACUGAUCGAGAAGAACACCUGGAGCGGCAUAGAGGAGUACUACAGGAACAUGGAGAGCGAAGUGUGCAAGCUGGAGACGCUGCUGCAGACCGAGGUUUCCGUGGUAACCACAGGCGAAGCCGCGGGCGCCGACACCGCCAGGACGCCGCCGUCCCUGCGACGGCGAAAGCGCGCCUCCUCCCGGCGGCAGAGCGAGAGGGAGGGAGGCGGUGCGGAGGCGGGCGAUCGAGGGGAGCGAGGCGUCGGGGAGGAGCGGAACCGCAGGGAGGCCAGCGCUCCGUUCCUGAAGCUGGGCGAACGCGGGCGCGCCGGCGGACACGGCGGCAUCUCCACCGUCCUCCUCAUCGUCAGCUUCAUGAUCUGUAUCAGUCUGGUGGUGCUGGUGGCUCUCAACAUGCUGCUGUUCUACAAGCUGUACGCUCUGGAAAGAGCAGCUCACACACUGGAGAGGUGGCACUCCUACUCUGUGGCCGACAGGUAAACACGCUGCAGGUGUUUCACACAGAACACGAGCCGCUGGGAUGGAGGAGGGGGGUCCCAGCAGGAUUCUGGUCUCCAGACGUUUUCCUCCCACUGAACUGUGUAUUAUCAUUAUGUCAUAAUUUACACUUUAGCUGCUUUUCCAGUCGUUUGCAGUUCAUUAGCCAAACACUUUUUGUUGAAUAUUCUACGAUUCAUUUAGACUGGAGCCCAGUUUGCCAAAUUAUUUUCUUUGGGAUUUUCAUAGAUUCUAAAACUGGAACAGAGUAAAACUAUUUUAGCUCCAACAGAGACAUGUUUACAUGCAUCUUUCAUUUCAAGAGCAUGAAAAAAAUCAGUUAUGUUGUUUUUAAUGUGACUAAUUUAUUUAUUUUUUUAAUAUUAAACAGAACUUAUUUAGUAAUUAGUUUCAUAGCUAAUUAGCUUUGAUUUAACUAAUCUUAGUUUUUCUUUGUUUUUGUUUUUAUUAGAUUAGUAUAGUUUAUCUUAACUUUUCUUGUUCUAGCUUGACUUUUAGCUUGGUGUCAGUUAGCUUACUUUAGCUGGAUUGAUUUGAGCUUAUAUUAUUUUAUGGUAUCUUACCUAGUUUGGCUGAACAUAGGUUAGCUUAGCAUGAGUAGCUUAGCUCCACUGGCUUUGAUUAUGUUAACUUGGGCUAUGUUGCAUUAAAAUAGCUUAUUUAGCUUAGUGUCAGUUAGCUUGGCUUAGUUGACCUUAAUUACUUUAGCUUAGCUUUGUUGGGUUUUGGUUAGCUUAACUUAUUUAGCUUGGUGUGAGUUAGCUUAGCAUCAUUGGUUUCAAUCAGCUAAUUUUUUGUUAAUUUUGCUUAUUUAUCUUGGUGUCAGUUGAUAUGGCUUUGAUUAUGUUCCAUUAUUUUAAAUGAAGUUAGCUAAGCUUAUUUUUUGUUUUUCUGUCUUACCCUAGCAUAAUCGUCCAUAGCUUUAGCUUAGCCUUUUCUAGUUAAUUUAGAAGAACUUGGCGAAUUGAACAUUUUUAGCUUAAUUGGUUUCUCCCAGUUUACUCUAAUUUAUUUAACUUAUCCUAGCAUAAUAUAGUUUCUUUAUAUCUUUAAUAGUUUGAUUUAUACUAGCUUAGUUAGCCGAGCUUAGCUUGCCUUGGCUCCGGCAUUAAGAGGUCAGGGACUGUUGUGACCUUGUGGCGGUGAAUGUGUGGAC